GGCGCCGUACCCAAGUGGUAAGGGAGAAGUCUGCAAAACUUUCAUGCAACGGUUCGAAUCCGUUCGGCGCCU
rnacentral:tRNA from 1 species